rnacentral:rRNA from 1 species
GACGAACGCUGGCGGCGUGCUUAACACAUGCAAGUCGAACGGAGUGGCGAACGGGUGAGUAACACGUGGGUGAUCAGCCUUGCACUCUGGGAUAAGCUUGGGAAACUGGGGCUAAUACCGGAUAUUGCAAGAUGAGCUCGCGGCCGAUCAGCUUGUUGGUGGGGUAAUGGCCUACCAAGGCGUAGACGGGUAGCCGGCCUCAGAGGGUGUACGGCCACACUGGGACUGAGAUACGGCCCAGACUCGUACGGGUGGCAGAAGUGGGUAAUAUUGCACCAUGGGCGGCAGCCUGAUGCAGCGACGCCGCGUGGUGUAUGACGGCCUUCGUGUUGUAAACUCCUUUCCACAUGGACGCGUUACCUGUAUAAGAAGCACCGGCUAACUACGUGCCAGCCGCCGCGGUAAUUC